GGCGUGACAGUCCAUUAGUGAGGUCUAUAUAACGAGGGGCGGACCUGUGGACGGCUAAUGCUCUUGCGUCACAAAUUCUAGCUGCCGUCACCUCUCUUCUCCACGAAGCCCUAGCCAAGCGCGCGGUGCUAGCAUACCGGUGACCGGUAUUCCCGCCCCGUACGUGUGGACUUUGAGGAGGCGCUGCUGCGUUUCUGUGGUGCUGAUAGGCGGGACAAGGAGGAGGAGCUGCAAGCUGCGAUCUGCUUCCUCCUCACCGACGCGCGGCUACGUUGAGACGAGCUACCCCAACUCUACUUCCACUGCGCUAUGCAUCUAGUGGUAACGAUCCAUAAUCAUCUGCUUACAUGAGAUCCUUGUUGAACGCGCUAGAACUAUGAAUUGGCGAUAGUGUAGCGUUCUCGUUUCCUAACAGAGCGAUCAUGUUUAGCUUUUGGUCUGGAUGCACAUAUAGAGAUAUGCUUUGUUUAGGGCUUUGCAAUCUGUUCAUAUAUGAUAUAUAGAUUGGUGCACGGUGUGGGAUCGGAUCGGUAUGAGUUGAUAGCAUUAGGAUGACUGUAGAUUUGUUCGUGUUCUUUCUCGGCUGUGCGCACGACUUGCCCGUACCGGUUGGAAUCACCAUCUGAGCUAACUGUGCAAAAGAGAAGAGAUUGAACCGAUGUGUCUAAGUCAUGUGUUGCUGUCUUCUCCGAUGCACCUAUCGCGAUGGUCAAUGUGAUUUAUCUAGUGAAAAUAAGGGUCAUCGUGAAUGGCCCUAAAUUGGCUUGAUUGGAUCAAUCCGAUAAGAUUUUCAUAGCGAUUCAUAGGCAUUGGACCGCCAUUGCAAUCUGUUGAUAGCGGCCUCUUUGUACCCCUUUUGUAGAAUACGUUCUGCGCCUAACUUAUUUUUGCAGGGUAUGAUGUGAAUGGUAUGGCCUUAAUAUCAUGUGAUACUCUGUAUGUAAUAAGUUGUGUGGCUUACAUGUCACUAGUUAAAACAACCGGGUGAGGUUGUCCAUUAUUAUAUAACGGCUUGCGUGUGUCGACAUAUGAUGCUUCAUCCCCUCAUGUAAUUUACUUUACUAGUGCUAUUAGAUGUAAUAGCUUAGUAUUUAUCCUUGGAGGCAUCAAGUAUGAUAGCGAUGAUGAUCACCACAAGACAGGAAGGAUGGCAAUGGACGUCACCAUGGAGCCAUGGCGAUGGAGCCCAUUGUGAUGCAAAAGAUCAUGUCUGCAAGUAACACUUCCAUUUUCAAUUUGCGAUAUGUUCUUGAGAAAGAUAAGUUGAAUGGGAUGAACUUUAUUGAUUGGUACCACAGCCUGAGAAUUGUUCUCAGGCAAGAGAAAAAGGAGUAUGUUCUCGAGUAGCCAUACCCUGAUGAACUCCCUAAUGGAGCAACUGCUACAACUAGAAGAGCUUAUGAGAAGCACUACAAUGACUCACUCGAUGAUGGAGCAACUGCUGCAGCCAGAAAAGCUUAUGAGAAGCACUGCAAUGACUCACUUGAUGUCAUCUGUCUCAUGCUUGCCACCAUAUCCCCUGAUCUACAGAAGCAGUAUAAGUAUGCCGAUGCUCACUCCAUGAUUGAGAGGCUGCAUGGAAUAUUUGAGAACCGAGCUAGUACUGAGACGUACAACAUAUCAAAGUCCUUGUUUGCGUGCAAGAUGGCAGAGGGUAGCCUAGUCAGUCCUCAUGUGAUCAAGAUAAUUGGUUACAUUAAGACUUUGGAGAAACUUGGUUCUGAACUCAAGCCUGGCCUGGCUAUUGAUGUCAUUCUUCAAUCGCUCCCGGCGAGCUAUGAGCCUUUUAUUAUGAACUUUCAGAUGAAUGGUAUGGAUAAAAUAUUGGCUGAAUUGCAUGGGAUGCUAAAAACAGCAAAGGACAACAUUAAGAAAAAUCUCACUCAUGUGAUAGUGGUUCAGUAGGAGAACAAAAGGAGGAAGAGUUGGACGCCUCCUAAAUGCAAAGCUAAAGGAAAGAUUCCUAAUGAGCCCUUGAGCUCUAAACAAAAGCUAAAGGUCAAAUCUGGCCCUACUCCUAAUGAUGAAUGCUUCCAUAGCCAUGCCAAGGGACAUUGGUCAAGAAACUACAAGAAAUACUUGGAGGAUCUGAAGAAGAAGAGGGGAAGUGAGACUUCCGCCUUAGGGACUUCAAAGGACUAGAAGAUUUGCAAGGGGUGAGUUGGAUGUUCGUAUCAGCAAUGGAGCAAAGUUGUGGUCAUGGCGAUCGGCACUUAUCACUUGCUGUUACCCUCAGGAUUAGUUUUGAAAUUAAAUAAUUGUUAUUGCAUCCCUAUUUUAAGUAAGAACAUUAUUUCUUCUUCAUGUUUGGAAGAAGUUGAUGGUUAUGAGAUCGUAAUAAAGAACAAGUGUUGUUCCAUUUAUUGCAAUGAUAUUCUUUAUGCUCAUUGCAUUGGUGAA